AAUAGAUACCCAGGUAGUCCACGCCGUAAACGAUGAGUGCUAGGUGUUAGGGGGUCCAACCCUUAGUGCCGAAGUUAACACAUUAAGCACUCCGCCUGGGGAGUACGGUCGCAAGACUGAAACUCAAAGGAAUUGACGGGGGGCCCGCACAAGCGGUGGAGCAUGUGGUUUAAUUCGAAGCAACGCGAAGAACCUUACCAGGGCUUGACAUCCCUCUGACACAUCUAGAGAUAGGUGCUCCCUUCGGGGCAGAGGUGACAGGUGGUGCAUGGUUGUCGUCAGCUCGUGUCGUGAGAUGUUGGGUUAAGUCCCGCAACGAGCGCAACCCUUGUCCUUAGUUGCCAGCAUUCAGUUGGGCACUCUAAGGAGACUGCCGGUGUCAAACCGGAGGAAGGUGGGGAUGACGUCAAAUCAUCAUGCCCCUUAUGUCCUGGGCUACACACGUGCUACAAUGGCUGGUACAAAGGGUAGCGAAGCAGUGAUGUGGAGCCAAUCCCAAAAAGCCAGUCACAGUUCGGA
rnacentral:rRNA from 1 species